rnacentral:rRNA from 1 species
GGAAAAGAAACCAACAGGGAUUGCCUCAGUAACGGCGAGUGAAGCGGCAACAGCUCAAAUUUGAAAUCUGGCCCUCGGGUCCGAGUUGUAAUUUGCAGAGGAUGCUUCGGGCGAGGCUUUGAUCGAGUCCCCUGGAAUGGGGCGCCACAGAGGGUGAGAGCCCCGUAUGAUCAGCCGCCGAACCCGUGUGAAGCUCCUUCGACGAGUCGAGUAGUUUGGGAAUGCUGCUCUAAAUGGGAGGUAAAUUUCUUCUAAAGCUAAAUACCGGCCAGAGACCGAUAGCGCACAAGUAGAGUGAUCGAAAGAUGAAAAGCACUUUGAAAAGAGAGUUAAAAAGCACGUGAAAUUGUUGAAAGGGAAGCGCCUAUGACCAGACUCGGGCUCUUGGGAUCAUCCGCCCUUCUGGGCGGUGCACUCCCUCGUUCUCGGGCCAGCAUCGGUUCUCCUCGGGGGAUAAAGGCGCCAGGAACGUGGCUCCCUUCGGGGAGUGUUAUAGCCUGGCGCGUCAUGCUCCGGGGGGGACCGAGGACCGCGCUUCGGCAUGGAUGCUGGCGUAAUGGUCACCGGCGACCCGUCUUGAAACACGGACCAAGGAGUCAAGCAUUAGGGCGAGUGUACGGGUGUAAAACCCGAACGCGCAGUGAAAGCGAACGCUGGUGAGAGCUUCGGCGCAUCACCGACCGAUCCUGAAGUCUUCGGAUGGAUUUGAGUAGGAGCCUUAACGCUUGGACCCGAAAGAUGGUGAACUAUGCCUGAAUAGGGUGAAGCCAGAGGAAACUCUGGUGGAGGCUCGCAGCGGUUCUGACGUGCAAAUCGAUCGUCAAAUUUGGGCAUAGGGGCGAAAGACUAAUCGAACCAUCUAGUAGCUGGUUACC